rnacentral:rRNA from 1 species
UGCAAGUCGAACGGUAACAGGCAAGCAGCUUGCUGCUUCGCUGACGAGUGGCGGACGGGUGAGUAAUGUCUGGGAAACUGCCUGAUGGAGGGGGAUAACUACUGGAAACGGUAGCUAAUACCGCAUAACGUCGCAAGACCAAAGAGGGGGACCUUCGGGCCUCUUGCCAUCGGAUGUGCCCAGAUGGGAUUAGCUUGUUGGUGGGGUAACGGCUCACCAAGGCGACGAUCCCUAGCUGGUCUGAGAGGAUGACCAGCCACACUGGAACUGAGACACGGUCCAGACUCCUACGGGAGGCAGCAGUGGGGAAUAUUGCACAAUGGGCGCAAGCCUGAUGCAGCCAUGCCGCGUGUAUGAAGAAGGCCUUCGGGUUGUAAAGUACUUUCAGCGGGGAGGAAGGGAGUAAAGUUAAUACCUUUGCUCAUUGACGUUACCCGCAGAAGAAGCACCGGCUAACUCCGUGCCAGCAGCCGCGGUAAUACGGAGGGUGCAAGCGUUAAUCGGAAUUACUGGGCGUAAAGCGCACGCAGGCGGUUUGUUAAGUCAGAUGUGAAAUCCCCGGGCUCAACCUGGGAACUGCAUCUGAUACUGGCAAGCUUUGAGUCUCGUAGAGGGGGGGUA